rnacentral:rRNA from 1 species
UACAUGUGGUGCAAGCGUUGUUCGGAAUUACUGGGCCUAAAGGGUGCGUAGGCGGUGUCGUCAGUCUGGGGUGAAAUCCUGCGGCCCAACCGUGGGACUGCCUCGGAUACUGCGAUGCUUGAGUGCGUGAGGGGUGAUCGGAACGCGUGGUGUAGCGGUGAAAUGCGUAGAUAUCACGCGGAAGGCCAACGGCGAAGGCAGAUCACUGGCGCGCAACUGACGCUGAGUGCACGAAAGCGUGGGGAGCAAACAGG